AUUGAACGCUGGCGGCAGGCCUAACACAUGCAAGUCGAACGAGUGGCGGACGGGUGAGUAAUGUAUGGGAAACUGCCUGAUAGAGGGGGAUAACUACUGGAAACGGUAGCUAAUACCGCAUACUAUCGGAUGUGCCCAGAUGGGAUUAGCUUGUUGGUGGGGUAACGGCUCACCAAGGCGACGAUCCCUAGCUGGUCUGAGAGGAUGACCAGCCACACUGGAACUGAGAAAGGGUCCAGACUCCUACGGGAGGCAGCAGUGGGGAAUAUUGCACAAUGGGCGCAAGCCGGAUGCAGCCAUGCCGCGUGUAUGAAGAAGGCCUUCGGGUUUUAAAGUACUUUCAGCGGGGAGGCGUUACCCGCAGAAGAAGCACCGGCUAACUCCGUGCCAGCAGCCGCGGUAAUAC
rnacentral:rRNA from 1 species